UGUAUGAUUUUGGGUGGGUAUAAGUAC
rnacentral:sRNA from 1 species